AUGUCAUACAACUGGAAUCAUAUAAAAUGCAGCCUAUUCAGACCAACUUCUUUCAGGCUCCCCCAGCUCUUUGGAACAUACAGCCCCAGCUGCACCUCCCCCACUGCAGCUGGCAUCAUGGCAGCAGCCACUCCAGAAGGCCACGGCUGCCAUCAUUAAUACAUAGAACUACUAAUUAUUCACAAACAAGACAUAGAACAUUAUAUCAGAAAAGUUUCUGUCUACUUUCAAUUUCCAGUUUCCAGAAGCUUAAUGUGUUUAAAAAAACAAACCAGGAACAAAAGAAAACUCCAAAGGAAGCCUAAGUCAUACAAAUAUCCAUUUCAAUGGGUAUUACCACUUCUGUUUAAAUAAAUGAGAAGAAAGCCCCACUAUUUACAUAAUUAAGGUCUGCCUGGCAACCCAAAAACUUCUUGAGUCCACAACUUGCAAGUUGGAAAAUCUGGGGAUAAACUACAUGUAUGCUCCAAUGGCAAAAUCCUCGGUGGAGCUCUGUUUCCUUAAAAUUUUUUUUUUUUUUUUUGUUAAACUGAGAAAAGCAGACACAUAUUAUUAGAGCAUAUUUAAUCCUAUUACCAGGGCUUACUCAGCCACAAGGAGAAAUUCUACUAUUUUUUUUUAAGUGCCAUUACCCUAUUCAGAGUGCUCACCACCCUGACACAAUUAAUGCAAUGUAUUUUUAAUUGUGUAGCAGGUCAAAGUGAUAGCAUCCAAAGCUCUGGGUUUUCACAUUCAGUGUCAGAAAUUCUUGCUGCCACAGGAAUAUCUUUCAGUUGGUUCAGACUCAUAUAAGCAGUGACACCCAGUGGAUGGAAACAUCUCAUCUCAAGCAAGAACCUCUCGGCUCUCUGCCCUCCACCCCCAUCUCCUCUCUCCAGGGAAAGAUUUUUGUAAGUGCUUUGUUUCUCUGACCUUACAAUUCUCCACAGGAAAGGAAUUUAUCAGAUUGCCUAAUGCCAGCCAGCUUUUCUUUAAAAUUUACUCAAAUUAAAAAGACUCAGACCUUUCCCUUGCACUGAAGACAUUUAAACCUAUCAAAAUUUGUUCAACUAAUCGGAUAUUUGGAUUCUAGAAAUAAAAGCAGAUUUACAAGUAUAAGGAUAAAAGAGGAAGUUGCUCAAUUAAUUUCCUACAUUUUGCAGUUAAAAAAAUGUAAUUGCUAGCAGAAAUCAUGGCUUUAUUAUUUAUUCAUUGCAAAUCAUUUAGAGCAUAUUAAACUAAAUUUGUGAGGAAAAAGUAAUAUAAACUGUGGACUGAAACCAUCUUCAUUCCAAAUGAUGGCUAUCAAUAAAGACAUAUC
rnacentral:lncRNA from 10 species